GGUUUCACCAUGUUGGCCAGGCUGGUCUUGAACUCCUGGCCUCAAAUGAUCCACCUGCCUCGGCCUCCUAAAGUGCUGGGAUUACAGGCGUGAGUCACCACGCCCAGCCAUUAAUUGCCAAGUCUCAUUGGCUCCUAGUGUCUUAAUCCACAUCUGCUAAAGUUGUUUAAGGUACAGCUAAAACAUCACCCAGGCUGGGCUCAGUGGCUCACACCUGUAAUCCCAGUAAUUUGGAAGGCCCAGGCGGGAGUAUCACUUGAGCCCAGGAGUUCGAGACCAGCCUGGACAACACAGGAAGACCUUAUCUCUACCAAAAAUACAAAAAUUAGCAGCAUGUGGUGGUGCACACCUGUGGUCCCAGAUACUUGGGAGGCUGAGGUGGGAGGAUCACUUGAGCCCAGGAGGUCAAGGCUGCAGUGAGCUAUGAUCACACCACUGCACUCCAGCCUGGGCAGCAGAGCAAGGCCCUGUCUCAAAAAAAUAAAAUAGGGGCCAGAAAGCUCCCUGAGGCUGAACAUCUGAAAAAAGAACUCAGAAAGACGACCCCAGACAUUUGCUGUGUACAGCGCUACCCAGAAUUAUUUGAAGAAAAUGUUCAAUUUCCUUCUUAAUCUCUUCACUGACUCACUGGUCAUUCAGGAUCAUAUUGUUUAAGCAGAAAAUGUUUGGGAAAAAAAAAAAAAACCACCACCACCACCACUAAAAAAUAACAGCACUGGGUGGGUGUGGUGGCUCAUGCUUGUAAUCCCAGCACUUUGAAAGGCCAAUGAGGGCGGAUCACCUGAGGUCAAGAGUUCAAGACCAGCUCGGUCAACAUGGCAAAAUUCUGUCUCUACUAAAAAUACAAAGAUUAGCCAGGUGGUAGUGCGUGCCUGUUAAUUCCAGCUUUUCAGGUGGCUGAGGCACAAGAAUCGCUUGAACCAAUGAGGUGAAGGUUGCAGUGAGCCGAGAUUGUGGCCACUGCACUCCAACCUGGG
rnacentral:lncRNA from 10 species